rnacentral:rRNA from 1 species
GCGUUGUUCGGAUUCGUUGGGCGUAAAGGGUGCGUAGGCGGCGGGGUAAGUCAGGUGUGAAAUUUCGGAGCUUAACUCCGAAACUGCAUUUGAUACUGCCUUGCUUGAGGACUGGAGAGGAGACUGGAAUUUACGGUGUAGCAGUGAAAUGCGUAGAGAUCGUAAGGAAGACCAGUGGCGAAGGCGGGUCUCUGGACAGUUCCUGACACUGAGGCACGAAGGCGGG